rnacentral:lncRNA from 1 species
GGAGGUGUCUCUACUCUAGCUACCCUUUCCCCGCCCCCUCCUCGACUUGGGGAACCCAGGCCAGGGCAGCUUGGGGCAGCUUGAGAGAAUCAGGCUUGGCUUGCCCUGGUCUCGGCCCAACUGGCACAGUUCAGACCCAGGGCACCAGGAGCUGUGAGUUUGUCUGGUGGAGGGAAGGAGCAUUGCUUGGAAAGGAUUGGAUUCCAGCCCUGGCUCUGCCUCUUACUUGCUGUGUAAUAGUGGAAAAUGUGGUUCAAAGAGGACAACUGGCUUGCCAAAAGUCACCUGGGUAAUAAGUAUGAAAAAGGA